rnacentral:rRNA from 1 species
GACGAACGCUGGCGGCGUGCUUAACACAUGCAAGUCGAACGGUGAAGCUCAAGCUUGCUUGGGUGGAUCAGUGGCAAACGGGUGAGUAACACGUGAGCAACCUGCCCCGGACUCUGGAAUAAGCGCUGGAAACGGCGUCUAAUACUGGAUAUGACACCAAUCCGCAUGGGUAUGGUGUGGAAAGUUUUUCGGUCUGGGAUGGGCUCGCGGCCUAUCAGCGUGUUGGUGAGGUAAUGGCUCACCAAGGCGACGACGGGUAGCCGGCCUGAGAGGGCGACCGGCCACACUGGGACUGAGACACGGCCCAGACUCCUACGGGAGGCAGCAGUGGGGAAUAUUGCACAAUGGGCGAAAGCCUGAUGCAGCGACGCCGCGUGAGGGAUGACGGCCUUCGGGUUGUAAACCUCUUUCAGCAGGGAAGAAGCGAAAGUGACGGUACCUGCAGAAGAAGCACCGGCUAACUACGUGCCAGCCGCCGCAGUAAAAC